rnacentral:rRNA from 1 species
UACGUAGGGUGCGAGCGUUGUUCGGAAUUACUGGGCGUAAAGCGCACGUAGGCGGAUUGUUAAGUUAGGGGUGAAAUCCCAGGGCUCAACCCUGGAACUGCCUUUAAGACUGCAUCGCUAGAAUUGUGGAGAGGUAAGUGGAAUUCCGAGUGUAGAGGUGAAAUUCGUAGAUAUUCGGAAGAACACCAGUGGCGAAGGCGACUUACUGGACACAUAUUGACGCUGAGGUGCGAAAGCGUGGGGAGCAAACAGG